rnacentral:rRNA from 1 species
GUCUACGGCCAUACCACCCUGAACAAGCCUGAUCCCUUCUGAUCUUGGAAGCUAAGCAGGGUCGGGCCUGGUUAGUACUUGGAUGGGAGACCACCUAGGAAGACCAGGUGCUGUAAGUG